ACAGUGACAUGGAAGGACACAUUCUUGGGAAAAAUUAACAUAGACAAGAGACUCUUAGAGAUGACGCAAAACACAGCUUAGAGUCCAAUAGAAUCUUCUUGCCUCUCUACGUCCUUGAAACCAGAUCCUCACUCCACAGGGACACAUGGCUUUGUAGCCAGACCUGGGAUCGGCUCUCUCCACCCCAGGAGGAAUGGGGGGACCGGGCAGGGAGUGGGGUCCCACGUGCAUCUGCCACCAUCACUCCUUCUGGACCCUGGGUGACCACCCUGCCAGCUGGAUCUCAGACCUCUCCCUCUCUCUCUUCCUACCAGCGUCAAGUUUAUCAGUAAAAUCCAGUAUGUGCACAGCCUGGAAGAUCUGCAGCAGCUCAUUCCCAUGGAGCACGUUCAGAUCCCAGACUGCGUCCUACAGUACGAAGAGGAAAGACUCAAGGCCAGAAGAGAGAGCGUGAGGCCCCAGCCAGAGUUUGUCCUGCCCAGGUCAGAAGAGAAGCCAGAGGCGGCACCGGCAGAGCACAGGUCUUCUCUGGUCACAGAAGAUCAGGAAACGAGCAUGUCCUGAGGCGACGUGAAAAUAGAGAAGGUCAUGAAAGAAGAUUCCAGAUGCUGAGAAACCUCUGUCAGACGCCCUCUGGCCCCAGAACUCAUCCCAUGUCAUCCUAAGUCCCGAGAGCGCCAGUCUCUAUCCAUCUCUGAAACCCAGUGUCCUUUUUAGCUGCUUGAAAACAUUUUUUUUUUUAAACGAUGCAGUAUUAGCGCAACCUGGAAAAGGGCCCGGGUCCCAGGCCUGCACCCUUCCACACUCACGAACUCACGGCCGAGGAAAGCGAGAAGGGGAGGGCGUGGCCUCGGUGGCCUCGGUCCCAGCUCCCAGCCCCCCAGCCUAGACACACUUCUCCCCAGCCCAGCUGUCCGUGGCCAGUGCUGGCCACAAGUUCAAUACCCUUCUCUUGCUGGUUACCUUUCCCAGGGUGGAGCCACCGACACCCCCGGGCACUCUGGCUGGGUCUGGAUUCGUUCCUGUGCCUUUCCUUCCAGAACGUGGCCCCUGCAGCUCCGGACCUCCGGCUGGAAGCUCAGCCCCCGGCAGGGCCAAACUUCCCGCCUCCAACCUCACACCUGUGGUUGUCCAAAACUGACACCCAUGAUUCUCCAUCUGUCACCUCCCCUUCCUCUCUCAUAAGACCCACCUUCCUUGGGAGCAUCGAAGCCCAUAGUACAAGUGAGAUCAGCUGGUAACCAUCCUUGUCCUAGCAUUUUAAGACUACACCCCCUCCCCCCAGUCUAGAACUUUCUCAAGCCCCUUUAACUCAGAUGCCGCUCCACAGGGCAAUCCCAACCAAUACCUCCUAUCAAGGGAAUGAACUGUGCCCACCUCACCAAGCCCCCACUCCCAGCACCAGGCCGGGACCUGCCCGCCAGGCUCCCACCUAGAGCGGAGGCUGAGGAGCCAGCUCUGAAAUAGAGGGAUCUGGAAAAAAGAAUCAACGGGGCAUGGGACAAGCAAGUGUUUCGAAGGUCCUUUGGACUGGUCCCACCUACAUCCAAAGCUAGACCAAUGGGUCCUCAUUCACGAGGCACAUCUCCCGUGGGUGAGGGAGAGACUUUCCAAUGUGCUGCAGACACUGUCAAGUGGCCUCUAGAAGUAGUGAGCUCCCUGUCUCUGGAGGCAUUUAAGAAAAGGCUGGAUGGUGCUUGUAGAAAGUGGCCCCCAAGGUACCCUCUGAUUCUUAGUGUCUCAGUGGCUAUGAAUCUGAGCAAACGUUGAGCGGGCACCUUCUCCAGGCCCCUGUUCCCGCCUCUGCAGCUGGCGUCUUAGCAAGCGCUGUUGAGGUUUGACUGAGCAGCCUCACAAUUCAGGGUUCACAUGUCAGAUGCUGGCCACCUGGGACGACCAGGGGGUGCAUUUGGGAUUAUCCCAACGACAGAAGGGAGCCAGGGCAGUUAGUGCUGAGGGGCAGAGAUGUGCAACAAUUUGCCGUGUGGGACAGGGUCUCACGCAUUCCACCCCAAAUGCCAGCAGCUCCCACCCUGAGAAAGGAGUGGUUUCUGAGUGGGCUUGAGCCUGCAAACCCCACCGUGGAGCUACUGGGCUGUACUGGGGACAUCUUCUAUAUCGGCGUUGCCCUGGUGAUGUUGGCACAUUUGGAGGUCUGGUGGAGGUUUUUAAUUGUGUUUCCCAAACGUAAAGGUCAACAAUGGUGUCCCAGGGCCAGAUGUGUCGCCUGCGGCCUGAAGCGGCAGAGACUGGUGGAUGAGUCUCUCUUGGCUUCUCCAAACUUCCCCGCUGCCCAGGCCCACCUCCCCCUGGACCCACUCACGGCACCUCCUUUUACAAAAGGUGCUCUGGGAAAGUGCUCCUGGCUGUGGUGGCCAGCCCUUCCCAGAAGGCCCCAAGCUCCCACCCCAAUGAAUGGGGUCUCUGCUGAAGCCAAGACGACAGAAUCCAUUGGACGACUCUGAGCAGGGAGCCUCCGGCAGAUACCAGCGAAGCCCAGCCACCAUAGUUUGUCCCCCCGUGACCAAAGGCAUGUUCCUCCAGCAUGAAUCUGUCUCCCCCAUAGUCACAAGAACUCCUGGGCCUUGAUCGUCAUUGACAACUGGGCCCUCCUCCAAGUUGAAAAAGGAGCCAGGGAGAGGAACAGACUCAUACUCAAUCAGACAAUUAAUUGUCGAGUGCCUAUAGUGGCGACGGAGUGACCAGUAAGGCCCCCUCCCACCCUCAAGGAGCCUGCGGGCCGAAGAUCCUGGCCCCACAGGAAAUUCCAGUGGGGUCCACCUGUUACGCCACAGCCCACCCACCGCCCCUUCGGAUCACCAGCAGCCGUGGACGAUGGGCAAGCAGAGCCGAGGACCCCAACUCAGCCACAGUGGACCCUCCAAAAAAAAGAGAGGUCCCUGAUAAGGCAGGAGGCUGUGCCAGCAGGUGUGAGAAGUUUGAACAGCUCCGUCCGAGCAGGGCCACCGUUCCCAGGUGGGCUGCUCCACGCACUACUGAAAAGUUGGCUUUGCAAUGGAUGUGUAUCUGGGGGGACAGUUUUGGCCAAAAUGCAACAGACCCCAAGUCCUCGUCAUCAAGUUGUGUUGGAUUUCUCUCUCGUGACACAUGGUUGUGCCCUAGCCCCUCCCCCAAUGUCACAGUUCACAUGCUCAUCCUUCUGACGACAAGUUUUGAAAUUUUUAAAAACAGAAACAGCAUUAUGGUUACUGUUGGGGUGUUAAGACAUCAUCUCCAUGAGCUUUGGGGGGUUUUAUGUGAAAUAAACUAUAAGUUAAAGGGGA